GAGAAAAAAAGAACAGAGUUCAAGUACCACUGACUGGCAGAAGGAGGUGUACGAGAAGAAGCGGGUGAACCUCCAAGGCACAAAGAAGAAGGGGUGCGCAGCAACAAUGAAUUUGAAGUGGAUUGAGUUGUACCCAGAUUUCCAGGUGGAUGUGCCCCAGCCAUGCGGCCAGACAAGAGAGGGUCGUCUGAAAGCCGACAAGGCCAAGGAGCUGCAGGAGGCACUUGACGCAGAGCAGCAGACUGUGGCCAAAGAGA